rfam:Rhodococcus sp. MTM3W5.2, complete genome.
AGCUGGACGGGGUCGACGGCGCGGGUGACCACCAGGUAGUCGCGCAUGACGAUGCCAUGCCGGUUCUC